rnacentral:lncRNA from 1 species
GAACAGUGUCCGACAGCUCUCAGCUCAAGGGCAAAUGACACAGCUUUGUGAACUGAUCAACAAGAGUGGGGAACUCCUUGCGAAGAACUUAUCCCAUCUGGACACUGUGCUCGGGGCUCUGGAUGUACAAGAACACUCCUUGGGCGUCCUUGCUGUUUUGUUUGUGAAGUUUUCUAUGCCCAGUGUUCCUGACUUCGAAACGCUAUUCUCACAGGUUCAGCUCUUCAUCAGCACUUGUAAUGGGGAGCACAUUCGAUAUGCAACAGACACUUGUAAGCUAAAUAACAUUUUAUUCUCCAUUGAAAAUAUUUUGCCCUUGUGGUUAUAUUUAUAUUUUGAAUAUUUUGUUAUUGUAUCUAGUUGCUGGGCUUUGCCAUCAGCUAACAAAUGCACUUGUGGAAAGAAAACAGCCCCUGCGAGGAAUUGGCAUCCUUAAGCAAGCCAUAGACAAGAUGCAGAUGAAUACAAACCAGCUGACCUCAAUACAUGCUGAUCUCUGCCAGCUUUGUUUGCUAGCAAAAUGCUUUAAGCCUGCCCUUCCAUAUCUUGAC